rnacentral:sRNA from 1 species
GCUGGGUGGGGUGGUGCACACCUGUAAUCCCAGCAACUUGGGAGGCUGAGGCAGGAGGAUCUCAAGUUCUAGGUCAGCCUCAGCAACUUCGUGAGGCCCUAAGUUACUUAGUGAGACCGUGUCACAA